UACGUAGGGUGCGAGCGUUAAUCGGAAUCACUGGGCGUAAAGGGCGCGUAGGUGGCGAUCCAAGUCCAUGGUGAAAGCUCGAUGCUCAACAUCGAGUCGGCCACGGAUACUGGGUUGCUUGAGCACUGUAGGGGCAGAUGGAAUUCCGGGUGUAGCGGUGGAAUGCGUAGAGAUCCGGAAGAACACCGGUGGCGAAGGCGGUCUGCUGGGCAGUUGCUGACACUGAGGCGCGACAGCGUGGGGAGCGAACAGG
rnacentral:rRNA from 1 species